UCAACCAUGACCUUCAUCUCCAUCUUCAUCUGCACACUGGCUCUCUGCACUCAAGGAUCCAGAGGUCAGGUGACUGUGACUCAGAGUCCUGCAGUAAAACAUGUUGAUCCAGGAGCUUCAGUCACCAUCAACUGUAAAACCAGUUCUGAUGUUCACCUUGGCAGUAGUUGUAAAUGUUAUCUUUUAGCCUGGUAUCAGCAGAAACCUGGAGAAGCUCCUAAACUCCUGAUCUACAAAACUAACAGCAGAGCAUCAGGUAUUCCAGAUCGUUUCAGUGGCAGUGGAUCUGGAUCUGACUUCACUCUGACCAUCAGUAGAAUUGAGACUGGAGAUGCAGGAGAUUAUUACUGUCAGAGUUUCCAUAGUGGUGGUGGCUUCACACAGUGUUAUAUGGUGGUACAAAAACCUGGGGUGCUGCCACGCCUCCAACUGCCCCCUUUCAGUUCUUCUGCUCCGGUCACCACCCCGUCCUCCAGCACUGUGCCGUCCACCGUCCAGCUCACCAGCGCCCCCUGUGGAGAGUAA